CCUACGGGUGGCAGCAGUGGGGAAUAUUGGGCAAUGGAGGCAACUCUGACCCAGCAACGCCGCGUGAGUGAUGAAGGUCUUCGGAUUGUAAAACUCUUUAAGUGGGGACGAAGAAAGUGACUGUACCCACAGAAUAAGCCUCGGCUAACUACGUGCCAGCAGCCGCGGUAAUACGUAGGAGGCAAGCGUUAUCCGGAAUGACUGGGCGUAAAGGGUGCGUAGGUGGUUCGGCAAGUUAGUAGCGUAAUUCCGGGGCUCAACCUCGGAAUUGCGCAUAAAACUGGUAAGCUGGAGUGCAGGAGAGGUAAGGGGAAUGCCGGGUGUAGCGGUGGAAUGCGUAGAUAUCGGGAGGAACACCAGAGGCGAAGGCGACUUACUGGACUGUAACGGACGCUGAGGCUCGAAAGCGUGGGGAGCAAACAGGAUUAGAUACCCGGUAGUC
rnacentral:rRNA from 1 species